rnacentral:rRNA from 1 species
UGGGGAAUUUUGGACAAUGGGGGAAACCCUGAUCCAGCCAUCCCGCGUGUGCGAUGAAGGCCUUCGGGUUGUAAAGCACUUUUGGCAGGAAAGAAACGUCAUGGGUUAAUUCCCCGUGAAACUGACGGUACCUGCAGAAUAAGCACCGGCUAACUACGUGCCAGCAGCCGCGGUAAUACGUAGGGUGCAAGCGUUAAUCGGAAUUACUGGGCGUAAAGCGUGCGCAGGCGGUUCGGAAAGAAAGAUGUGAAAUCCCAGAGCUCAACUUUGGAACUGCAUUUUUAACUACCGGGCUAGAGUGUGUCAGAGGGAGGUGGAAUUCCGCGUGUAGCAGUGAAAUGCGUAGAUAUGCGGAGGAACACCGAUGGCGAAGGCAGCCUCCUGGGAUAACACUGACGCUCAUGCACGAAAGCGUGGGGAGCAAACAGG